ACAUACGACCACAGCCGCUAGCAGAGCUCAGGAUCCCGUCCGAUCUCCCAGGAGAAUCUAGCGAGCGCCGGAUUAGUAGUUGGGUCGGUGACGACCAGCGAAUACCUGGUGUUGUAUGUU
rnacentral:rRNA from 1 species